rnacentral:rRNA from 1 species
UAUCACCUCGGGACGCAGCAGUAGGGAAUCUUCGGCAAUGGACGAAAGUCUGACCGAGCAACGCCGCGUGAGUGAAGAAGGUUUUCGGAUCGUAAAACUCUGUUGGUAGAGAAGAACGUUGGUGAGAGUGGAAAGCUCAUCAAGUGACGGUAACUACCCAGAAAGGGACGGCUAACUACGUGCCAGCAGCCGCGGUGAUACGUAGGUCCCGAGCGUUGUCCGGAUUUAUUGGGCGUAAAGCGAGCGCAGGUGGUUUAUUAAGUCUGGUGUAAAAGGCAGUGGCUCAACCAUUGUAUGCAUUGGAA